UACGUAGGGACCAAGCGUUGUUCGGAUUUACUGGGCGUAAAGGGCGCGUAGGCGGCAAUUCAAGUCAGCUGUGAAAUCUCUGGGCUUAACCCAGAACGGCCAGCUGAUACUGCUUUGCUAGAGUGCAGAAGGGGCAAUCGGAAUUCUUGGUGUAGCGGUGAAAUGCGCAGAUAUCAGGAGGAACACCGGUGGCGAAGGCGGGUCUCUGGGCCGAUACUGACGCUGAGGAGCGAAAGCGUGGGAGCGAACAGG
rnacentral:rRNA from 1 species